GACGAACGCUGGCGGCGUGCCUAAUACAUGCAAGUCGAGCGAGCUUGCCUAGAUGAAUUUGGUGCUUGCACCAAAUGAAACUAGAUACAAGCGAGCGGCGGACGGGUGAGUAACACGUGGGUAACCUGCCCAAGAGACUGGGAUAACACCUGGAAACAGAUGCUAAUACCGGAUAACAACACCAGACGCAUGUCUAGAGUUUAAAAGAUGGUUCUGCUAUCACUCUUGGAUGGACCUGCGGUGCAUUAGCUAGUUGGUAAGGUGACGGCUUACCAAGGCAAUGAUGCAUAGCCGAGUUGAGAGACUGAUCGGCCACAUUGGGACUGAGACACGGCCCAAACUCCUACGGGAGGCAGCAGUAGGGAAUCUUCCACAAUGGACGCAAGUCUGAUGGAGCAACGCCGCGUGAGUGAAGAAGGGUUUCGGCUCGUAAAGCUCUGUUGGUAGUGAAGAAAGAUAGAGGUAGUAACUGGCCUUUAUUUGACGGUAAUUACUUAGAAAGUCACGGCUAACUACGUGCCAGCAGCCGCGGUAAUACGUAGGUGGCAAGCGUUGUCCGGAUUUAUUGGGCGUAAAGCGAGUGCAGGCGGUUCAAUAAGUCUGAUGUGAAAGCCUUCGGCUCAACCGGAGAAUUGCAUCAGAAACUGUUGAACUUGAGUGCAGAAGAGGAGAGUGGAACCCCAUGUGUAGCGGUGGAAUGCGUAGAUAUAUGGAAGAACACCAGUGGCGAAGGCGGCUCUCUGGUCUGCAACUGACGCUGAGGCUCGAAAGCAUGGGUAGCGAACAGG
rnacentral:rRNA from 1 species